GACGAACGCUGGCGGCGUGCUUAACACAUGCAAGUCGAACGGUGACGGAGGAGCUUGCUCCUCCUGAUCAGUGGCGAACGGGUGAGUAACACGUGAGCAAUCUGCCCCUGACUCUGGGAUAACUGCGGGAAACUGUAGCUAAUACCGGAUACGACGCGCGAAGGCAUCUUCUGCGCGUGGAAAGAAUUUCGAUCAGGGAUGAGCUCGCGGCCUAUCAGCUUGUUGGUGAGGUAAUGGCUCACCAAGGCGACGACGGGUAGCCGGCCUGAGAGGGUGACCGGCCACACUGGGACUGAGAAACGGCCCAGACUCCUACGGGAGGCAGCAGUGGGGAAUAUUGCACAAUGGGCGGAAGCCUGAUGCAGCAACGCCGCGUGGGGGAAGACGGCCUUCGGGUUGUAAACCUCUUUUGGCAGGGAAGAAGCGAAAGUGACGGUACCUGCAGAAAAAGCACCGGCUAACUACGUG
rnacentral:rRNA from 1 species